AUAUGCCUACGGGGGGCAGCAGUGGGGGAUAUUGCACAAUGGGGGCAACCCUGAUGCAGCGACGCCGCGUGAGCGAUGGAGUACUUCGGUAUGUAAAGCUCUGUCAGCAGGGAAGAGAAUGACGGUACCUGACCAAGAAGCCCCGGCUAAAUACGUGCCAGCAGCCGCGGUAAUACGUAUGGGGCAAGCGUUAUCCGGAUUUACUGGGUGUAAAGGGAGCGUAGACGGCUGUGCAAGUCUGAAGUGAAAUGCCGGGGCCCAACCCCGGAACUGCUUUGGAAACUGUACAGCUAGAGUGCAGGAGG
rnacentral:rRNA from 1 species